rnacentral:rRNA from 1 species
GAUCAUGGCUCAGGAUGAACGCUAGCUACAGGCUUAACACAUGCAAGUCGAGGGGAAACGAUAUUGGAAGCUUGCUUCCGAUAGGCGUCGACCGGCGCACGGGUGAGUAACGCGUAUCCAACCUGCCCAUCACUUGGGAAUAACCUUGCGAAAGUAAGGCUAAUGCCCAAUGACAUUUAUAGAAGGCAUCUGAAAUGAAUUAAAGAUUUAUCGGUGAUGGAUGGGGAUGCGU